rnacentral:rRNA from 1 species
AGUGAACGCUGGCGGUAGGCCUAACACAUGCAAGUCGAACGGCAGCACAGUAAGAGCUUGCUCUUACGGGUGGCGAGUGGCGGACGGGUGAGGAAUACAUCGGAAUCUACUUUUUCGUGGGGGAUAACGUAGGGAAACUUACGCUAAUACCGCAUACGACCUACGGGUGAAAGCAGGGGAUCUUCGGACCUUGCGCGAUUGAAUGAGCCGAUGUCGGAUUAGCUAGUUGGCGGGGUAAAGGCCGACCAAGGCGACGAUCCGUAGCUGGUCUGAGAGGAUGAUCAGCCACACUGGAACUGAGACACGGCCCAGACUCCUACGGGAGGCAGCAGUGGGGAAUAUUGGACAAUGGGCGCAAGCCUGAUCCAGCCAUCCCGCGUGGGUGAAGAAGGCCUUCGGGUUGUAAAGCCCUUUUGUUGGGAAAGAAAAGCAUCAGGUUAAUACCCCGCUGUUCUGACGGUACCCAAAGAAUAAGCACCGGCUAACUUCGUG